UCAAGGUUGUUCCGGCAGUC
rnacentral:siRNA from 1 species